rnacentral:other from 1 species
GCGCCCCUGCGUUGAUCGAAUGGCAGAAAUGUUGCCUGAGCCGAUACUUGUCGAAAGGGAGCCUACCUACUUUGGCCGUGAGCGUCCCCUAACCGGGAUACCUGAAGCUGAAGUGCGGCGCCCACCUCUUGUUAGAGGGUUCGACGACUGUUUGCCACGACGCCAGCGUGGGGGCGCC